ensembl:lncRNA
UGCUACUCGCGUCUGGGGGCGCGCUGCCCGCGGAGCUUCGGGGUCGUGGUAGCGAGGCCCGUUUUUCCGCAGGCGUAGGCCGCCCUUUCCGUUCCAAUAUCGGCUUUGAAGCCCUCCUUGCCCUUUGCUGGGUCUGCCUUCUUCGUCUCCCACCGAAACGCACACUCCCAUCCUAGGGCUGUCCUCUUAGUUUGCUUUAGGUCACGUGGCCGUGAGUUUCCCAUACCCGAGGCUUUGGAUUGGUUGCGUUCUUUUCCCUAAUAGUAAAAUUGCUUCUCUCCGUGUUGACUAAGUACCUAGCACAGCUGGGGCUGACGAUAAAGGCCCCUAACCAUCACCCCUGAUGUGUUCCUUAAGUCAAAUCAGUAGAGUUCAACAGCCCAAAGCACCCCUUUGCGUUUCAUUCAACAAGAACGUGCUUGUUUCUCAGCACGUUUGUGUUCAUACCUCCCACCCUCCAAUACGGUAAAACAAAGGCAAAGACCCCACAGUCUGUGCACAAAAAUGAUACAUUUAUUGAAAGAGUAUUUUUUUCUUAAUACAAAAGAAAGCUCUGUACAUAGGACUGUGACCAUGUCCACUAUUCCUGGGUCAGCAUCCCAGGGGAAGUAGAAACCACUAACAUACACACCCCACAUUCGCACACACACAUUCACUCGGGCACACGCGCACACACACAUACACACCCCAGAGCCACCAAGGAAGGGAAACACCAAGGGUCGCUGCAUGUAAAAAUGCCACCUCAUCCUUGACGCACGCAUGUUCUCCCAAGGCCACGCUCACACAACACACAUUAUAAGCACUUUGCCUGAUUCACUCACUGGGUCUGUCUUUUGUGGGAAGGAGAGGAGGAAUUCAUCAAGGUCUCCUCCCCAGCGUGAGGGAGAGGGGAGUGAGUGAGUGAUGGUGGAGUGAAAACAAAGAGUAGAGAAAAGGGGCUGGGCAGUUGCAGACCUGAGUCCCAAGCUCCCCCACUCUCUGACCCCUGAUUUGCCAUGCCCCAAUCCAUAAGCCACCCAUAAGUCCCCUGCUAUCUUCUGGAGAAAGCCAGAAAGAUGGCUUCCAUCUUGGCACCCCAAACUGGGGCAAGACAGCAAAGGGGGUUAGAGGUCCGGAGGUUCUCAAACAUGUCGGCAAAUCGUCCCCAUGAUAAUUAGGCUUGUUUCUACUCAAGGCAGACCUAAGGGGUUAAUAAAACUCCACCCACCCCCCCACUGCCCUGUUCUGAAAAAGCUCCCUCUCUGAUACAGGUGGUGAAGGUAGGCUCUGACACAGGGUAAAAGACCCUCUGCCAUGUUGGCCCACCCUCAAGAUCUACCCCAAAGGGGGCAGAGGGGGUGGGGCACGGCCCCUGUACAAAUUACAUAAAUACUGAGGUUACACUUAGAAAAAUAAAGUCAUUUUCUUCAAGGCUUUUUGUCUUAAUUUUAAAAAGUUACAGUAGCUGCUCACUCCCUGGGAGAGCUGCCAUUUCUGGCUCCCCUAACCCCACACUCAGCCCAAGAGCUGCUCCCAUUUCUUCUGCCCCCCAAUCC